rnacentral:lncRNA from 1 species
AGCAACAGAGUGGGCCCUACUUUUUGAUCUUCAAUAUCAAUAAUAAUAAUAAUCUGGCCUCCCUUACCAAAAUGAGUCGCAGUUUGACUUUGUGUAUAAAUACAAAAGUAUAUAUAGGGCAGUGGUAUUUUCCUGUCUCACUUAAAGGUGUGCAUCGUAUAUAUUAUUAUUUUAUGUCGGAAAUUAUCGAGCUACUUGAUUCCCACUUGAGAGACGAGGAUAAUUAAGGAAAGAAAGAACUAUAGCCCGAUGAUCAAUGUCGAUGAAUGUAAACAUAUCCAAAAGGAUUUUUUUUUGUUUUUUUUGUUUUGAAGUUUGGAAAGGGGAGGGGGAGUUACCACUUUCAAACUUGAGACUGCCUUUGUUGAAGGAAUUAUGCCGUAAUUGUUGUCGGAGAAUAGAAUCCAAGUUCUCUCUCUCUCUCUCUCUCUCUCUCUCUCUCUCUCUCUCUCUCUC